rnacentral:tmRNA from 1 species
GGGGAUGAAAGGUCUCGACAGGGAAGGGUCAGGCAUGGACUGCAAGCCGAGACGCCUGAUCUCGUUAAAUCGGGCAAAACCAAUAAGUGCCGAGAAAGUACCUGCUUUCAACGCACCUGCCUACUACGCGCUUCCGCUCGCUGCGUAAGCCGGCGUAGGCCGAUGCAAAUGGUCACUCAGAGUGAGUGACCACGUCCGACACCUCUCCAUCCGGGCGGAGGUGUUUGGGCGUCACGGAGUCCGGAUUGCGGCGCACAGAUGCCGAUAAGUGCGUCAAAGGAGACGAGAGUCUCACCAUCGGCUGGCCUGUCGUCGACUCGGUCGGCGGACGAGACGACAGGCGAGAAACGUGGCGCCGACUAAGCUUGUAGAUGUUCAUGUCGAGCUUCUCUGGACCCGGGUUCGAUUCCCGGCAUCUCCACCU